rnacentral:rRNA from 1 species
AGGGAAAGGCGAAAAGAACCCCGGCGAGGGGAGUGAAAAAGAACCUGAAACCGUGUACGUACAAGCAGUGGGAGCCCCACCACUAAGCCAGUGGUGAACUCCACAUCCGCAUCCUUUGCUGAGGAUACGGUUAACGGAGCGAAAGCGACGUUCAACCGCAAAACAAGCAGAGGGGGCUUAGUGGUGGGGUGACUGCGUACCUUUUGUAUAAUGGGUCAGCGACUUAUAUUCUGUAGCAAGGUUAACCGUAUAGGGGAGCCGGAGGGAAACCGAGUCUUAAUUGGGCGUUAAGUUGCAGGGUAUAGACCCGAAACCCGGUGAUCUAGCCAUGGGCAGGUUGAAGGUUGGGUAACACUAACUGGAGGACCGAACCGACUAAUGUUGAAAAAUUAGCGGAUGACCUGUGGCUGGGGGUGAAAGGCCAAUCAAACCGGGAGAUAGCUGGUUCUCCCCGAAAGCUAUUUAGGUAGCGCCUCGUGAAUUCAUCUCCGGGGGUAGAGCACUGUUUCGGCUAGGGGGCCAUCCCGGCUUACCAACCCGAUGCAAACUGCGAAUACCGGAGAAUGUUAUCACGGGAGACACACGGCGGGUGCUAACGUCCGUCGUGAAGAGGGAAACAACCCAGACCGCCAGCUAAGGUCCCAAAGUCAUGGUUAAGUGGGAAACGAUGUGGGAAGGCCCAGACAGCCAGGAUGUUGGCUUAGAAGCAGCCAUCAUUUAAAGAAAGCGUAAUAGCUCACUGGUCGAGUCGGCCUGCGCGGAAGAUGUAACGGGGCUAAACCAUGCACCGAAGCUGCGGCAGCGAACGUAUCACCCAAGACAACUUUACGGAGUUGACGAUUGACGGAGCGAAGCGACGUCAAAGCGUUCAUUAAAGUCGAGUUGGCUUAGGGAUACGUUCGUUGGGUAGGGGAGCGUUCUGUAAGCCUGUGAAGGUGUGUCGUGAGGCAUGCUGGAGGUAUCAGAAGUGCGAAUGCUGACAUAAGUAACGAUAAAGCGGGUGAAAAGCCCGCUCGCCGGAAGACCAAGGGUUCCUGUCCAACGUUAAUCGGGGCAGGGUGAGUCGACCCCUAAGGCGAGGCCGAAAGGCGUAGUCGAUGGGAAACGGGUUAAUAUUCCCGUACUUGGUGUUACUGCGAAGGGGGGACGGAGAAGGCUAUGUUGGCCGGGCGACGGUUGUCCCGGUUUAAGCGUGUAGGUGUGUGUUCCAGGUAAAUCCGGUUCACUUUAACACUGAGGCGUGACGACGAGGCACUACGGUGCUGAAGCAACAAAUGCCCUGCUUCCAGGAAAAGCCUCUAAGCAUCAGGUAACACGAAAUCGUACCCCAAACCGACACAGGUGGUCAGGUAGAGAAUACCAAGGCGCUUGAGAGAACUCGGGUGAAGGAACUAGGCAAAAUGGUGCCGUAACUUCGGGAGAAGGCACGCUGACACGUAGGUGAAGUGAUUUACUCAUGGAGCUGAAGUCAGUCGAAGAUACCAGCUGGCUGCAACUGUUUAUUAAAAACACAGCACUGUGCAAACACGAAAGUGGACGUAUACGGUGUGACGCCUGCCCGGUGCCGGAAGGUUAAUUGAUGGGGUCAGCGUAAGCGAAGCUCCUGAUCGAAGCCCCGGUAAACGGCGGCCGUAACUAUAACGGUCCUAAGGUAGCGAAAUUCCUUGUCGGGUAAGUUCCGACCUGCACGAAUGGCGUAAUGAUGGCCAGGCUGUCUCCACCCGAGACUCAGUGAAAUUGAACUCGCUGUGAAGAUGCAGUGUACCCGCGGCAAGACGGAAAGACCCCGUGAACCUUUACUAUAGCUUGACACUGAACAUUGAGCCUUGAUGUGUAGGAUAGGUGGGAGGCUUUGAAGUGUGGACGCCAGUCUGCAUGGAGCCGACCUUGAAAUACCACCCUUUAAUGUUUGAUGUUCUAACGUGGACCCGUAAUCCGGGUUGCGGACAGUGUCUGGUGGGUAGUUUGACUGGGGCGGUCUCCUCCUAAAGAGUAACGGAGGAGCACGAAGGUUGGCUAAUCCUGGUCGGACAUCAGGAGGUUAGUGCAAUGGCAUAAGCCAGCUUGACUGCGAGCGUGACGGCGCGAGCAGGUGCGAAAGCAGGUCAUAGUGAUCCGGUGGUUCUGAAUGGAAGGGCCAUCGCUCAACGGAUAAAAGGUACUCCGGGGAUAACAGGCUGAUACCGCCCAAGAGUUCAUAUCGACGGCGGUGUUUGGCACCUCGAUGUCGGCUCAUCACAUCCUGGGGCUGAAGUAGGUCCCAAGGGUAUGGCUGUUCGCCAUUUAAAGUGGUACGCGAGCUGGGUUUAGAACGUCGUGAGACAGUUCGGUCCCUAUCUGCCGUGGGCGCUGGAGAACUGAGGGGGGCUGCUCCUAGUACGAGAGGACCGGAGUGGACGCAUCACUGGUGUUCGGGUUGUCAUGCCAAUGGCACUGCCCGGUAGCUAAAUGCGGAAGAGAUAAGUGCUGAAAGCAUCUAAGCACGAAACUUGCCCCGAGAUGAGUUCUCCCUGAGACUUAGAGUCUCCUGAAGGAACGUUGAAGACGACGACGUUGAUAGGCCGGGUGUGUAAGCGCAGCGAUGCGUUGAGCUAACCGGUACUAAUGAACCGUGAGGCUUAACCUUACAACGCCGAAG